GCCAGCAUGGCAUAGUGGUUUAAGCAUUGGAUUAUGACUUUGGAGACCAGGGUUCAGAUCCCUGUAUGGCCA